rnacentral:rRNA from 1 species
GGUCAAGUGAAGAAGCGCAUACGGUGGAUGCCUUGGCAGUCAGAGGCGAUGAAAGACGUGGUAGCCUGCGAAAAGCUUCGGGGAGUCGGCAAACAGACUUUGAUCCGGAGAUCUCUGAAUGGGGGAACCCACCUAGGAUAACCUAGGUAUCUUGUACUGAAUCCAUAGGUGCAAGAGGCGAACCAGGGGAACUGAAACAUCUAAGUACCCUGAGGAAAAGAAAUCAACCGAGAUUCCCUUAGUAGUGGCGAGCGAACGGGGAUUAGCCCUUAAGCUUCAUUGAUUUUAGCGGAACGCUCUGGAAAGUGCGGCCAUAGUGGGUGAUAGCCCCGUACGCGAAAGGAUCUUUGAAGUGAAAUCGAGUAGGACGGAGCACGAGAAACUUUGUCUGAACAUGGGGGGACCAUCCUCCAAGGCUAAAUACUACUGACUGACCGAUAGUGAACCAGUACCGUGAGGGAAAGGCGAAAAGAACCCCGGAGAGGGGAGUGAAAUAGAACCUGAAACCGUAUGCGUACAAGCAGUGGGAGCCUACUUGUUAGGUGACUGCGUACCUUUUGUAUAAUGGGUCAGCGACUUAUAUUCAGUGGCAAGCUUAACCGUAUAGGGUAGGCGUAGCGAAAGCGAGUCUUAAUAGGGCGUUUAGUCGCUGGGUAUAGACCCGAAACCGGGCGAUCUAUCCAUGAGCAGGUUGAAGGUUAGGUAACACUGACUGGAGGACCGAACCCACUCCCGUUGAAAAGGUAGGGGAUGACUUGUGGAUCGGAGUGAAAGGCUAAUCAAGCUCGGAGAUAGCUGGUUCUCCUCGAAAGCUAUUUAGGUAGCGCCUCAUGUAUCACUCUGGGGGGUAGAGCACUGUUUCGGCUAGGGGGUCAUCCCGACUUACCAAACCGAUGCAAACUCCGAAUACCCAGAAGUGCCGAGCAUGGGAGACACACGGCGGGUGCUAACGUCCGUCGUGAAAAGGGAAACAACCCAGACCGCCAGCUAAGGUCCCAAAGUUGUGGUUAAGUGGUAAACGAUGUGGGAAGGCUUAGACAGCUAGGAGGUUGGCUUAGAAGCAGCCAUCCUUUAAAGAAAGCGUAAUAGCUCACUAGUCGAGUCGGCCUGCGCGGAAGAUGUAACGGGGCUCAAACCACACACCGAAGCUGCGGGUGUCACGUAAGUGACGCGGUAGAGGAGCGUUCUGUAAGCCUGUGAAGGUGAGUUGAGAAGCUUGCUGGAGGUAUCAGAAGUGCGAAUGCUGACAUGAGUAACGACAAUGGGUGUGAAAAACACCCACGCCGAAAGACCAAGGGUUCCUGCGCAACGUUAAUCGACGCAGGGUUAGUCGGUUCCUAAGGCGAGGCUGAAAAGCGUAGUCGAUGGGAAACAGGUUAAUAUUCCUGUACUUCUGGUUACUGCGAUGGAGGGACGGAGAAGGCUAGGCCAGCUUGGCGUUGGUUGUCCAAGUUUAAGGUGGUAGGCUGAAAUCUUAGGUAAAUCCGGGGUUUCAAGGCCGAGAGCUGAUGACGAGUCGUCUUUUAGAUGACGAAGUGGUUGAUGCCAUGCUUCCAAGAAAAGCUUCUAAGCUUCAGGUAACCAGGAACCGUACCCCAAACCGACACAGGUGGUCGGGUAGAGAAUACCAAGGCGCUUGAGAGAACUCGGGUGAAGGAACUAGGCAAAAUGGCACCGUAACUUCGGGAGAAGGUGCGCCGGCUAGGGUGAAGGAUUUACUCCGUAAGCUCUGGCUGGUCGAAGAUACCAGGCCGCUGCGACUGUUUAUUAAAAACACAGCACUCUGCAAACACGAAAGUGGACGUAUAGGGUGUGACGCCUGCCCGGUGCCGGAAGGUUAAUUGAUGGGGUUAGCGCAAGCGAAGCUCUUGAUCGAAGCCCCGGUAAACGGCGGCCGUAACUAUAACGGUCCUAAGGUAGCGAAAUUCCUUGUCGGGUAAGUUCCGACCUGCACGAAUGGCGUAACGAUGGCGGCGCUGUCUCCACCCGAGACUCAGUGAAAUUGAAAUCGCUGUGAAGAUGCAGUGUAUCCGCGGCUAGACGGAAAGACCCCGUGAACCUUUACUGUAGCUUUGCACUGGACUUUGAGCCUGCUUGUGUAGGAUAGGUGGGAGGCUUUGAAGCGUGAACGCCAGUUCGCGUGGAGCCAUCCUUGAAAUACCACCCUGGCAUGCUUGAGGUUCUAACUCUGGUCCGUGAUCCGGAUCGAGGACAGUGUAUGGUGGGCAGUUUGACUGGGGCGGUCUCCUCCUAAAGAGUAACGGAGGAGUACGAAGGUGCGCUCAGACCGGUCGGAAAUCGGUCGUAGAGUAUAAAGGCAAAAGCGCGCUUGACUGCGAGACAGACACGUCGAGCAGGUACGAAAGUAGGUCUUAGUGAUCCGGUGGUUCUGUAUGGAAGGGCCAUCGCUCAACGGAUAAAAGGUACUCCGGGGAUAACAGGCUGAUACCGCCCAAGAGUUCAUAUCGACGGCGGUGUUUGGCACCUCGAUGUCGGCUCAUCACAUCCUGGGGCUGAAGCCGGUCCCAAGGGUAUGGCUGUUCGCCAUUUAAAGUGGUACGCGAGCUGGGUUUAGAACGUCGUGAGACAGUUCGGUCCCUAUCUGCCGUGGACGUUUGAGAUUUGAGAGGGGCUGCUCCUAGUACGAGAGGACCGGAGUGGACGAACCUCUGGUGUUCCGGUUGUCACGCCAGUGGCAUUGCCGGGUAGCUAUGUUCGGAAAAGAUAACCGCUGAAAGCAUCUAAGCGGGAAACUUGCCUCAAGAUGAGAUCUCACUGGGAACUUGAUUCCCCUGAAGGGCCGUCGAAGACUACGACGUUGAUAGGCUGGGUGUGUAAGCGUUGUGAGGCGUUGAGCUAACCAGUACUAAUUGCCCGUGAGGCUUGACCAU